rnacentral:rRNA from 1 species
CAGCCGCCGCGGUAAUACGUAGGUGGCAAGCGUUAUCCGGAAUUAUUGGUCGUAAAGCGCGCGUAGGCGGUUUUUUAAGUCUGAUGUGAAAGCCCACGGCUCAACCGUGGAGGGUCAUUGGAAACUGGAAAACUUGAGUGCAGAAGGGGAAGGUGGAAUUCCAUGUGUAGCGGUGAAAUGCUCAGAGAUAUGGAGGAACACCAGUGGCGAAGGCGACUUUCUGGUCUGUAACUGACGCUGAUGUGCGAAAGCGUGGGGAUCAAACAGGAUUAGAUACCCCAGUAGUCCCUGUCUCUUAUAC